UAAGCCCAAUCACUAAUCAACCCACAACUAUAAAGCCUCCGGAUUUCCUCCUACUCGUCGCCAGAUCGUCCUUCAAUAUCAGGGAGAUUACUGUGCAUGCUUCCUGCUCUCAUGCUGAUCGCUUCCCUGUCUGCUGUUGAACCUGCCUGCCUGUUGCCUGAGCUCCCGUGUUUCCCUCCGUGUGAGUACGCUGAAGAGAGGGACUGCCCCGCUCUGUACCCACGGCGCCUUUACCACAGGUUGGACGCCACUCCUGCCUCACGCUGCGCCACGACGCAGCGCCGCCAUUGUCACGUGCCUGACGCCAAAUAAAAGACUUGUGUAGUCACUAUC